UGAAAUCCUGGAGCAAUAUCAUUUAAUUGUGACAGAUGUGAAAAAGGAUUUUUGAAUUGCAAAACGCACAAAAGAACAACAAAGACGAAACAAAGAUUUACAUGUCUAAGAUGAGAAGUCCCAAGCACUUGCUGUACAUUUUACUUCUCUGUUUGUUGGUUUCUCAAACAUUGACAUUCGCCAGAAUUCAGGUGGCAUUGGUAUCAUUCCCAUGGAUGUGAAAAAUUCCUCGGCAAUUUGAAACAUUCUGAAAGCAAAAUGUGCAAAUCGAAUGAAAAGGCAGUUCGUGCUGAUAUUUUCAUGCAAUAUUCGAUAUUUCGAAGACUCAAUACAACUGGAUACACAUGACUGCUUUUACCUUAGCGGUGAAAUGCCUUGAAGCAUCAUAUCCAAAGUGACAUCUAGUUUCUUAGCUGCCGGAAAAGGCUGAACUAUAUCAU